UACGAAGGGGGCUAGCGUUGCUCGGAAUUACUGGCGUAAAGCGCACGUAGGCGGCUUUCUAAGUCGGGGGGUGAAAUCCUGGAGCUCAACUCCAGAACUGCCUUCGAUACUGGAGAGCUCGAGUCGGGAGAGGUGAGUGGAACUGCGAGUGUAGAGGUGAAAUUCGUAGAUAUUCGGAAGAACACCAGUGGCGAAGGCGGCUCACUGGACCGGUAUUGACGCUGAGGUGCGAAAAGCGUGGGGAGCAAACAGGGAUUAGAAACCCCCGG
rnacentral:rRNA from 1 species